CAGGGAUUGCCUCAGUAACGGCGAGUGAAGCGGCAAGAGCUCAAAUUUGAAAGCUGGCCCCCUCGGGGUCCGCGUUGUAAUUUGCAGAGGAUGCUUCGGGUGCAGCCCCCGUCUAAGUGCCCUGGAACGGGCCGUCAUAGAGGGUGAGAAUCCCGUCUGGGACGGGGUGUCUGCGUCCGUGUGAAGCUCCUUCGACGAGUCGAGUUGUUUGGGAAUGCAGCUCUAAAUGGGUGGUAAAUUUCAUCUAAAGCUAAAUACUGGCCGGAGACCGAUAGCGCACAAGUAGAGUGAUCGAAAGAUGAAAAGCACUUUGAAAAGAGAGUUAAACAGCACGUGAAAUUGUUGAAAGGGAAGCGUUUGCGACCAGACUCGCCCGCGGGGUUCAGCCGGCAUUCGUGCCGGUGUACUUCCCCGUGGGCGGGCCAGCGUCGGUUUGGGCGGCCGGUCAAAGGCCCUCGGAAUGUAUCACCCUUCGGGGUGUCUUAUAGCCGAGGGUGCAAUGCGGCCUGCCC
rnacentral:rRNA from 1 species